rnacentral:misc_RNA from 1 species
UCCGGUUUGUCACCGGCAGUCCCAUUAAAGUGCCCAACCGAAUUGCUGGCAAUUAAUGGCAAGGGUUGCGCUCGUUGCGGGACUUAACCCAACAUCUCACGACACGAGCUGACGACAGCCAUGCAGCACCUGUGUGCAGGCUCCCUUUCGGGCACUCCCGACUCUCAUCGGGAUUCCUGCCAUGUCAAGGGUAGGUAAGGUUUUUCGCGUUGCAUCGAAUUAAUCCACAUAAUCCACCGCUUGUGCGGGUCCCCGUCAAUUCCUUUGAGUUUUAACCUUGCGGCCGUACUCCCCAGGCGGUCGACUUCACGCGUUAGCUUCGUUACUAAGGAAGUUUCCUUCCCCAACAACCAGUCGACAUCGUUUAGGGCGUGGACUAC